GCGGGUGUAGCUCAGCUGGUAGAGCGCAACCUUGCCAAGGUUGAGGUCACGGGUUCGAGUCCCGCCACCCGCUCCA
rnacentral:tRNA from 4 species